AUACGUAGGGAGCGAGCGUUGUCCGGAAUUACUGGGUGUAAAGGGAGCGUAGGCGGGAGUGCAAGUCAGAUGUGAAAUACAUGGGCUCAACCCAUGGGCUGCAUUUGAAACUGCAUUUCUUGAGUGAGGUAGAGGUAAGCGGAAUUCCUAGUGUAGCGGUGAAAUGCGUAGAUAUUAGGAGGAACACCGGUGGCGAAUGCGGCUUUUUGGACAGUAACUAGCGCUGAGGGGCGAAAGCGGGGGGAGCAAACAGGAUUAGAUACCCUGGUAGUCCACGCCAUAAACGAUGAAUACUAGGUGUAGGGGGUAUCGACCCCCUCUGUGCCGACGUUAACACAUUAAGUAUUCCACCUGGGGAGUACGGCCGCAAGGCUGAAACUCAAAGGAAUUGACGGGG
rnacentral:rRNA from 1 species